rnacentral:rRNA from 1 species
UAAGGCUGAGACACGACGUCGAGCACCUACGGGUGUGAAGUCAUUGAUGCCAUGCUUCCAGGAAAAGCCUCUAAGCUUCAGAUUGUAAGGAAUCGUACCCCAAACCGACACAGGUGGUCGGGUAGAGAAUACCAAGGCGCUUGAGAGAACUCGGGUGAAGGAACUAGGCAAAAUGGUACCGUAACUUCGGGAGAAGGUACGCUCUCGACGGUGAAGUCCCUCGCGGAUGGAGCUAUUGAGAGUCGCAGAUACCAGGUGGCUGCAACUGUUUAUUAAAAACACAGCACUGUGCAAAAUCGUAAGAUGACGUAUACGGUGUGACGCCUGCCCGGUGCCGGAAGGUUAAUUGAUGGGGUUAGACUUCGGUCGAAGCUCUUGAUCGAAGCCCCGGUAAACGGCGGCCGUAACUAUAACGGUCCUAAGGUAGCGAAAUUCCUUGUCGGGUAAGUUCCGACCUGCACGAAUGGCGUAAUGAUGGCCACGCUGUCUCCACCCGAGACUCAGUGAAAUUGAAAUCGCUGUGAAGAUGCAGUGUACCCGCGGCUAGACGGAAAGACCCCGUGAACCUUUACUACAGCUUGGCACUGAACAUUGACCCUACAUGUGUAGGAUAGGUGGGAGGCUUUGAAGCACGUACGCCAGUAUGUGUGGAGCCGUCCUUGAAAUACCACCCUUGUAGUGUUGAUGUUCUAACGUCGACCCCUAAUCGGGGUUGCGGACAGUGCCUGGUGGGUAGUUUGACUGGGGCGGUCUCCUCCCAAAGAGUAACGGAGGAGCACGAAGGUGGGCUAAUCACGGUUGGACAUCGUGAGGUUAGUGCAAUGGCAUAAGCCCGCUUGACU